rnacentral:rRNA from 1 species
AUGAAAAAAGCCUUGCCAUGUUCGAAGGUGGAAACCAGUCCUCUCAGUCCUCGGCCAACGUUGUUUCCCGUGGCCGUGGUGGAUUCGGUCGCGGUGGAGGCGGCCGUGGCAACGGUGGUCGUGGCAAUGGAGGUGGAGGUCACGGCAAUGGAGGCCAUAGCAAUGGAGGCGGUGGCCGCGGCAAUGGAGGUCGUGGCAACAUCAAUGGAGGAGGCAACGAUCUCCCCGAGGUUGUCUGUCAAAUCUGCAAGAAGCCAAACCACACCGUCAUCGAGUGCUACCGCCGCUUCGACAUCUCCUUCGCCAAGAACGAAAAGUGUGCAGGAUCGGCCACCACCUCGUCCUAUGGAGUGCACACUAAAUGGUACCUUGACAUGGGGGCCACAGAUCACAACACCAGCGAGCUCGACAAGCUGA